UGGACGUAGAAUACGGCCAAAGGAACCAUAGUCACUUCCCCUCCAUUACCAAAUUACAAUUUUUGGGCGUUUACGGCCAUAAAAUUGGAAAAUCCGCGCGAGUCCCAAUUUUUCGUGUGCUACAGCCCACGCCUUCUUCAGUGGCCCCGGGACCCCGGACCCGGAUCGUCUAAAAAUUUUCAUGGAUGUAGAAUACGGCCAAAGGAAC
rnacentral:lncRNA from 1 species